ACUCCAGGAAGCCCCGCCCCAAGCUAGAAUGCGAGCUGGGAAAGUAUUCCGCCCCUGAACGGUCCGAUUGGACGAGUCCAGCGCGAGGCCACGCCCACGAAGCUCCCGGGUGCCAUUUUUCAUCCUCUGCUCGAAUGGCCUCGGUCCUCAGUCUGUUUAGAAGGCAGUUGACGCUUUUUUUGGUCCCACAGUGUCAGCCUAAGUGUUUUCGGGGAAGCCUCUGCCCCUGAGUUCCAGACCCAAAUUCCCGUUGUCGCCCACCAACUGUUGUCCAGUUAGUGGGUAGUUACGAGUUUUACACUUCAAUGUUAAACGGUUAGAAUCAAAAGGACUCUGCUACGUUCCCAUUUCAGGUCGAUUAAUGUCGCUUUGUCUUGAGAGUAAAAAAAAAAAGAUUCUCGCCGGGAGCGAGGCAAACCCAGAAGCUUGAAGGAAAUCCGUUCCCAGCUCCUGUCACAGUUCCACAAGGUAACCUGAUUUGAAAGACUGGCUUCAAAUACCUCCGUUUUGACCGCAGUCUGUAUUUUCUAAAUGAAGUUCUUUCCAGCUUUUGUUACCUCUGGCAAAAGGCUGCGUUUCCGAAACCAUCCCCACUGGUAUUAAGGACUGCCCCGGGCCUGCGAGACCCCAGUGAUUGACCCCAAGACCAGGAUAGACUUGACCUUUACUGUCCACCUGUCUGUACGACCUCUGAAAAUCUAUAUUUUCAGCACUUUGUAAAUUGCUUUUCAGAUGCUAGUCCACUGUUUUGGCCUUGUGGAAAUAAAUUCCUGUUUCACUA